GUGUUUCUUCUUGAUUUUGUUAUGCAUGCGUCUUAACUUUCUAUAUUUGACUAUUUGUCUAGGUACCAGCAAUGGCAGCUGCAGCCUACUUGAAAUUAGCAGGAAGGCCUCCGGUCCUUCCUUCAAUAAUCCUUCUUCAGAGUUGGAAAUUCUUUGUAAGUCACAUUAUUUGGAAAUUCCGUGUAUUCAUUUUCAAACAUAUAUUCCCUAGAAUUCUGAAGUUUCUGAUUUCAGUGUUGAUACAUAUUUCCUCUUUUUCAUGUGUUGCAGGGGUAACAAAGAAUAUAAAGCCAAAUCCCUGACUUGCCCGUGUUCUAGAUAUCCUUUUUAUUCUUCAUGCUGGACACGAAAUGAAUGCCUCACUGUGCACUGUGCUGGAAAGCGGCGGCGAUCUACCCUCCGUCGUGCCAGUUACGUGCCCCUCCACCUCCUAUGUGUCGCCACUACGGGUGUUAACCACCACCGCUGCUGGAGCUGCGCUACAAGCCUACAACACAUCGAAGAUAUACUGAUAUAUACAUGAAAGCUACAACUCGAACUGGUCAAAUGCUGGGAAGCACAUAGCCAAGCAUAGGGCACUUGUGUGGUUCCUCAAGGAGAAUGUACCGGCCGAUCUUGAGGCCAUGGUGAGGGCAAGAGAGACACAAUUAUUAGUUGGAUUGUUUUGUCAGCCAUACGACCGAAUGCUAUGUCUAAAGUGGUUUUGUUUUAUCGUAUGCACUGUCAUACUAUGUAUGGGUUUGUAAGACCUUAGCUCUGUAUCUUAUGUAUAAAGUUUUUAGCUUGCUUCUGAAGACAUUGAGUUUGUUUUUGUACAAUGCAGUCUGUAUGGCAAUACUUGCGCCCAUAGCCAACAAAAGAGUAAUAUGAUUGUGCUGGUAAUUAGUGAGGGUCAUAUAUCUUGUACACAAGAUCCUUGCUUUGGCCCGUGCGCCAGGGCCGCAAGCAGGCCGCUAGUUAAAUUAAAUCACCUAAUUUGGGUGACCAAUAUAUGCAGGUACAUUUAUUUUUUUGCAUUCUACCACAACUUUCUUAUAUAUGGAAGAGUACUUGUUGUACCAUCAAACCAAUGAUGGAUAAAAGCACACGUCGAGAAAAAACUGAGAUAUUUAGAAGCAGCUCAAAGCCUAUGCAAAUGAAGAGAAAAUAAGAGGAAAAUCUGGGAACAAAGAAGAAUGACGUUAUUUGUCCUAUGAUGGUUUGGACUCGUGGCUACUGCUGACAUAGCUAUUUGGGUCCACACGUCAGGUGUGGUGGACUAUUUUUUGCAAAAAACACAGCGGCUCCCCGUGCCCCCUCUCCUUGUCUGCUCUCUCUAUUCUCCACAAAAGCCGCCCUGUGCAAGCGUUGCUGCAUACGAUUGGUAAUUUUGGUACUGAUUGAUCUCUUGUUCUCCAGGAAUGCCACGCCUACUUCUUCUGCCUGGAGGACCGGGUGCUGCUCUGCCGGAGCAGCGAUGUUGCCAUGCACACGGCCACGCACCGCCGCUUCCUCCUCACGGUCGUGCAGGUCAGCCUGGACGAGCAGGAGACUACUGCCUCCAUGGAGAGGGUGACUUCAGCUGGGCCACUGCGCCGGGCGUCGAGAGCCUCCCCGACUGGCCAAUCAUCAACGAGCAGUUCGGCUCCCCUGCGCCGCGACACGCGGAAGCAUCAGCGGCCGCAAGACGGACACCCACGAAGCGCGCGCCGGCCUUCAGCUGUCAGGGCAGCAUGAUGGACAGGCCCCUUGGCGAAUCCGCUCAAUUCUUGUGCAAACGAUAUGACUUCUUCAGUAAAAUUGGCAGGCUGAUGGCGGGAAGCUGGGACACGGGCGGCUCGUUGUACUGCAUGUCCUCCUCUGCUCUCCUCCUCUCUUCUCCACCCGAUCCCACCGCACAGCCCCGCGUCCUCCCCCGCGAGCGCCUGACCCCGCACGUACCCGUAGCCACUACGCAGCGCGCUCCUCUUCCCCGACCCCGGCUGGGUGCCGCCGCGGCCCACGUCGUCGAUUCCGAGCCGCAGCACCACGAAGCCACGCGCAGAAGCAGCGCGCCAACCGCGCGAAUCCCGAGCCGCCGUCCCCCGUCUCUCUCUCUCUCUCUCGCUCCGCCGCGGCCCCCGCGUCGGAGAUCCUCGCCGCCGCCGCAAGCUCUGCGUCGCCAGCGGGCUCCACCACCGGAUCUACGUCGAUGCCGCAACCAUCUUUCCCCCUGCGCUGGCGCCUCGACGAGAGACCGCUGUAGAGCGACCUCGACCACCGGAGCUCCGCCUAGCAUCGCAUCUUCCCCAACUCCGGCGACAGGGAUCUUUCGUGGAGAAGAGAGGAGGAGAGCAGACGAGAAGAGGGGCACGGGGAAAGAAAGGAAGGAGGAAGGAGGUUUUUGCAAAAAAAAUUGUCCACCUUGACACAAGCACGCGACCGAACCAGUAUAAAACCUGCGCUGAACCACUUCCGGAACAAUCGGGAUUCAAACGCAGUUUCAAAGAAUUAGUACUAACUUCAUACUUUCACGAAACAAUGAGGACCUCUGGUGCAUUUUACUCUCUCUCUCCCCUGAGCUGUACUUUCAAAGUGGUUAAAUGACCUUUCGGUAUGCCAACCUCGCCGCUAGGGGUACAGGGGCUAAGAAAUAGGACUGGACAGCCACUGUUCGUCCGACAAGACGGAUAAUACCCCUCUUGUCGGCUCAUUAAAUGCGUUGUGCGGCUCACUCCUUGCCCCGGCAAAACUACACAUUGGGCGCCCAGCGCGCGCCCACGUGGCGUCGCUGCCCUGCUCGCUCGGCCCGGGAACCCCUCCUCCCGGCAAGUGACUUCCCGGAAGGUGCCCAGGCGGGAAUAUUCCUCGAAGCCCCGCUAGCCCUUCCAGGCUGGUAGCUUGCCGGGCCGCCUGCAGUUGCCGCCCGGGGCGAGAUCCUUCCGGAAACUCGGCGACGCUACCCAUGCAUCGCGCAACGGUGGUACCCCGGGUGCCACUGGUGCGACCGUAGCCCCCGGGCGUGGGCCGGCAACACCGGUUCCCGGGCGAGCUUUUCCUGGGUCGGUUGCCAGGCUACGUCCUCACCGACGCGUGGGUCCCGACUCGCCUCGGGCCCGCGUUUCUUCGCUGCCCCACGUACCCUGCCGUUACGGACGGAGUAGUGGGUGCGUGAUUUCCGCCAUAACCUCCCCCUUAAACAGGAAAGUUAAGGCCACUCUCCGCAUUACUCAUUUGAUUAGGAAUUAUCCCAGCGCAUCCGUAGGAUGCGGAACCGGCCGUUACCAAACGGCCGGGUGCUAUAAAGUUUUUACUGCUGCUGCAAGGGGAAAACACUUUGCUACCACAGCCUUCAUCUUCCAACCUCUUCGCAUCUUGCGCCCAAGAACCCCUGCUAGCUCCUGCCCCCGUUCCCCAUGGCACCUCCCACCACCAGGAAGGGAAAAGAGGGGAAGGCCCCCAGGAAAGCGGCGGCCGGCAGAAGCGACGCGGCUGCCAAGGCCGCCGCCGACAAAGACCGGAAGAAGCGGGAGAUGAGGGCCUCGCUGGCCUUCUACCGGCCCGACUACAACGGCGAGGCGCUGGCCAAGAUCCAGCACGCCGUCGCCUCCCGAUUCAACGAGCACGGGGAGACCCAGAUCCUCCCUGCGGGCGCCGACCAUCAGGAAAAUGACUUCCGAGUGUUCAGGCGCUUCCUCCUUACCAGGCUGGUGCCGCCAUUCUCGCUGUUUUUCCACGCGCUGAUGGAGUCAUACCAGCUGCGGGUGGUGCAGCUCCACCCCACGUCGCUCUACCUCGUCGCCAUCUUCCAAUUCCUCUACGAAGCGUUCGUAGGGGUGAUGCCAUCGGUGGCGCUCUUCCGCCAUUACUUCUACCCCCGGAUUGACAACGCGAACACGAUGUCGUCGGGGGUGGUGUUCCGCGCCCGCGACCGGACGAAAUCUGAGUUCAUCGUCCGGUCGGAGAAGAAGAUCGAGAAGGAGUGGUGCGGGGAUUGGUGCUGGGUCCGCGUAGAAGACCCCAAGGAGUUCAUCCUCCCGCCCACCAAGUUGUCGCAACCCCACGCCGGCUGGCAGGACCGGUACUACCGCGACGCCGAUCUCCUCCCCAUCGUGGAGAAGAUCAAGGCUCUGCGGCUGGCGGGGCUUACCGAUGUCGACGUGGCGCGUACCUUCAUCACCCAGCGCGUCGCGCCGCUCCAACUGCGCUCCCGGCCCGCGUGGAUGUACACGGGUUCUGGGGACAGGACACGCCUCCACCGCGAAGGUGUGGAUUCGGAAUCCCUCCAGGUGUGGGUGAGGGGGAUCUCUGGCGAGGACCUCCCCGCAACGGGGUUCCCGCCGGGAGUCAUUUCCCUCCAUGCCGGUGUUGCGGGGCUCAACGACAUCGUCGCCACCUUCCCGCCCUACAACGAGUGGGGAUUCAUGGAUGAUACCCCCACUCGAACCCCGCGUGCUCCCCCGCCGGCACCUCGCGGGAAGCAGGUGCUUGAGGAGAGCGGGGGCGAGUCGGAGAUCGGCUGACCUUCCCUCCAGUCUCUGGAUGACGAGGCGGGCCAGCCUGCGGCGUCCCAGGCAGUCGUCCAUGUGGACGACGCCGAUGAGGACAGUGAUGACGCGCCCCUGAUCGUGCGGAGAUCAAGGGCGUAUGCAGCGGCCGCGGCUACCUCCACGGUGGCUACGGCGGCACCCGCCCCAGCAGCGGCAUCCGCCCUGGCGGCAGCUCUUAGCUUUGCGGUGGCAGCCGCCUUAGGGGCGUUCGCCGGUACCUCGGCGGCGACCACACCCGUGGGGGUCGCCGGAGCCAUGGUGGUGACCACCCCGGCGGCGGCUACCUCAAUAGCAGCUGCCGCCGCGGCGGCAUCUACACCGGGGGCAGCCCCCGACGCGUGGCAGCCUCGUCCUCGGUUCCCAUGGCGCCCCAAGCUGCGGCAACCCCACGGGCGCCCACGGCGCCGCCAGCUCGGGGGGUCUUCCGGGGCUUCGCGCUUCGGCGCAACCCCCCGAGGACCGAUUCAUCGGCGAGCACCAGCAAGAGGGGGAGGGGUGACUCUCCGCCCGCCACGCCGAUCAAGAGGGCGCGCGCGGACGCCGGCGACGCCACCGACCCGACCGGCACAGGGGCUAGCGGCGCCGUCAUCGCACCUGCCGACGACCCAGCACCAACGGAGGUGGCGCCGGCGACAGGUACGGCUCUUUCCUUCCUCCCUCGCUGUAUUUUCAAUUGUUAGUUAAUCACACAACCGUACCUUCCUUUUCCGUAGUUGGCACCUCGCCCGCGGCAAGCCUCUUGGAGCCCCCUGCUGGGGCGGAGUUGGAGGGGGAGGCUCCCCCGGCAAGUCCGGCGGCCUUGCAAGGUAACCGCCCUUAGCCCCCUUGUCCGCCUCUGGGCUACUUUUUGCUUGCCGCUUCUCACACUUCUUGCCGCUGCAGGCCCAAGCGCACCCGCAUCGGGAGCGGGCGCUAACUUGGUUGAUCUCGACUCCGAUGUAGAGACCACGGGGGCGGCGGAGGAGCCGGCAGUGGCUCCCGCACCAAGCCCGGCCGGGCCGCAGCGGCGACGGUGGUCGACGCGCCAGCAGUCGCGGACGCAGUUGGCGCGGAUUCGUCUACUGCCCAGCAGGGGGCGGCCCCUGCCGAGGGCGCGGCAGCCUCACCAGCCCCGCUGUCCUUAGGCGCGGUUGAAGGGGAGGUUGCCGGGGAAGGGCGACAGGACGCCCCGGCACAUGCAUAUGACCCCCCGCCUAGCUCUACGGUGGCGGCGGGGGCUUCUUCGUCAUCGGCCGCCUCUCUCGACACCGACCUCAGCACCCUCGCCGAGGUGGCUUGGAAUCCCAUCACCUGGGAUCCGAGCGACUUCGAGCGAGGGCACUGGUUCCUGGACGCCGUAAAGGACCAGCGUGCCAAACUCCAGGGGGCGCUAGACUCGCUAGCGGCGACCCACGGGGAAACCAAGAAGGAGCAUGCCGGGGUGCUCGCGGCAGCCCAAGCCCAUCUUGACGAGAAGAGCGAUCUGAUUGCCAACUACCGCGGUGAGAUCCAGGGCCUGCUCGUCAAGCUGGAGGUGCAGGUCAAGGCCACCGAGAGUGUGGUGGAAGCGGCGGCCCGGCAUGAGAUCCAGCUCGGCUCUGCCAAGGACAGAGCGGCCAAGCUUGAGACCGAGCUGGCCACCGCCCGGGAGGAGCUUGCCAAGGCCAGCAACGACAAGGCGGUGAAGACCGUAGAGCUCGCGGCGCUUGAGAACAACCUCCGUAAGGUCAAGAAGGCUGCGCAUGAUGCCCGGCUCCACCAUGACACGCUGAUCGGGCAGCGGCAAAUAGAGACCGAGAAGCUGGUCAAGAUCGCCCAAGCGUUGCGCGAUGUGCUACCCCGGUUCGAGCUGCAGGCCGUGGCGGUGGACGGUACAGACGUCUCAACAUUGAUCCCCUUCUUCUCCGACCUGGUGGGGAAGCUUGGGGCGCUCGACGUCUGGAUCGCCCAAUACGGCGCCAACGAGGUUGCCAACUGCACCUGGGAGGUUGCCGGGACAAUCCUUCCGAGGAUACACCUACGUGACCCGGCGUUCCCCUUAAAGACGCUGCUGGAUGCCUGGUCGGACAGCGAGGACGAGCCCACCCACACUCGGGCGGUGCGUGGGUUCGUCGGCGAGGUGGUCGAGCGGAUGCAGCAGAAGCCAGACCCUGAGCCGUCCCCGGAGUCCUCGGUAGAAGACUCCGGCCACGGCCUCCUGCCGGUCCCUGUUGCUUUCCUGUUUAUCCUCUUUUGUCCUUGUCAUGCAAGUGUAGCGCUUUGCGCUGUUUGAACAAUUACAUUUUGAUUAGUCGAUGUAAUCAUUCACUGCUUAGUUAAUCAAGCUCUUUAGUUCUGCUUAAUGCUUGCUCCUUGUUCCUGGGGCUGCCUCAUGGGGUGGAUCCCUUAGCCUUUGUGUGCUAUGCUUUCUGUUGCCGGGGACUCGCGCGCCUAACUCUUGACCAGGCCAGGGACCCGGGAUGGACCCGCAGUGCCGACCUGGGGUCAAGCAGCAGCGGCGAGCCACUCUACUUGCGGGGUAACUACUCCAAGCCAUGCCCUCCCGGGACGGACCCGGAAGCUGCACGGAGAGUGCACUCCCCCCGCAAGCGUCCUUCUAACACCCUGGCCCCACGCAGGUUCCAGGGGCACCCUUGGCGAGGCAGCGUUCAGUUACAUUCUGCUCUUAAAGAGUUUAGCGUUCAGGUGCAAGCACUUAGCUUUUCGUUCAAUCUCGUGCUCGGCACGAGUGCCGAUGAUGUGCGCCUGGUACACUGCCCUUGAGAGAGCCUGCUGGAGGAAUGCGGUGGAGACGCCGUGGCAAGACCGUCGACAACGAUGCUCCCACUACGCCUCCACACCAACCCUCGCUUCUGGAAAAGCCCUUGCUUUCGGAGGAACCUGUCCCAAGGGGUGCGGCGGGGACGUCGUGGCUUCCUCGCCGCCACCGGCGAGCACGGGUGGCGAGGACGCCAUGGCAUUCCCGCAGCAGCCCUCGCUGCUUGGGGAAAAAAUCUGUCUGAGGGACGCAGCAGGGACAUUGCAGUGGGCCAGAGUGAACGGCGAACGCCGGCACCGGCGCCAUCACAGCAUCCUCGCUACGACCCUCGCCUCUGGAGGCACCCUCUGGAGGGGUGUGGCAGGGACACCACGGCAGUGCACCCGUCGGCGCCGAGCGCCGAUGGCAUGCACUACCAUCGUGUCUCCACGUCACCCCUCACUCCUUGCGGAGAUAACCUCUGGAGGGAUGCGGUAGGAGCACUGCGGCGGUGCACCCGUCAGCGCUGAGCACUGAUGGAAUGCACCACCACAGUGCUUUCGUGGCAGCCCUCGCCCCGGAGCCGCUCGCUAGAGGAGACGUGGCAAGGACACGGAGGCAGUGCAUCCGCCGGCGCCUCAGAGUGGGCUCGGUGGGGUAAUGCGCAAGGGUGCGAUGGUAGUGCACCCGUCGGCGCUGGGCGCUGAUGGCAUGCACUACCAUCGCGCCUCUGCGGCACCACCCGCCUUUGCAGCCUCUUGGCUGUGCUCUGAGCCGUUCCAUGGCCAGGACGCUCCUUUUAUAGGCGCGGAGGGGGGGCUCGCCACCACACACGCCGGGUCAACACGGCAUACGUGGCGCUCCGCCCCUUGAAGUGCGGUACAGUCUUCACCACUUCGCACGCCAAGUUGCUGUAGCACACGUGGCGACUCCCUCCUGAAUCAGGGGCCUCGAAGUGCGGCGAGUCCCUCAUGGUGCGGUCGUUCCGCACCACCAGGCGCUGCUACAAGCCGCGACCCGUGGGCGGUCCACGGGCAUUACAGUGUGCAAGAUUCCAAUUUUACCCUACAUGUUAGAUUCUUACCAAGCCCGAGAUGAUGCAAUUUUUUUUCGAAAUUCACGAAAAACUCAAAGCAACAUGGAUAAUCUCUUGCCUCCCAGCCCCCAGGCACGGAAGGGUCGACGCCAAACUUGGAUGUGAGCACUUCAUUUCCCAGAGGCAGCGACUGCGUGGUGCACGUUGCGGGGAGCCCAGCAACUGCACGUCCAGUGAUGCACGUUGUGGGAAGGCCGGCAACUGCAUAUCCCGUGAUGCCCGUUGCGGGAAGCCCGGCAACUGCAUGCCCUGUGCCGGAGCGAUCCGGCAACAGGUUUACGUUUUCGAGGCUCCAACAGCCCCCUGCUCACAGCCAAGUAUGGAAAGACACUUCUGUGCACCCAAAGCAGGAGACAAAAGAAGAAGGAAUAUGCAAAUAAACGAGGCAAUCUUAAAACUCAGGGAAAAAGCACUUAUCUUUAUUCACAAUAACCAGUGGUUUACACACGGGGGUUGCCCGGCUACGCUAGUUCCAGAGGUAUGCAUCGGCGGCAUCACCUAAGGGUCGGGCUCCGCCGCUUCACGGGUAGAACCUGCGCAAGUGUUCAAUAUUCCAACUAUUUUGCACCGGCAAACCUUCUUCGGUUUCCAGCCGGACAGCCCCCGGUUUGGUCACCUGCACUACCCGGAAGGGGCCUUCCCAGUUCGGAGUCAACUUGUUCCCGGCCUUCGUUCCUUGUAUCCGGUGCAGGACAAGGUCUCCGUUCUCGAGCCCCCGGGGACGGACUCUCCUGUCGUGAUAACGACGGAGUGCCUGCAGGUAGCGCGCGACCCGCACAGCAGCCCGACAUCGAAGCUCUUCGAUGAAGUUCAGAUCAUCGACCCUUUGCUCGUGUUGGCUGGAGUUGCCGUACACACGUACUCGGGGAGAUCCGUGCUUGAGCUUGAGGGGCAGUACCGCUUCUGCCCCAUAGACAAGGGCGAAAGGGGUUGUGCUCGUUGCCCGACUGGGUGUGGUCCUGAUUGACCACAGCACGGGCUGGAGUUCUUCGAUCCAGUAUUUGGCCUUUGAGCUUGUCAAAGGUUCUCAUCUUGAGCCCCGCAACACUUCCGCGUUGGCUCGCUCCGCCUGUCCCUUACUCCUUGGAUGAGCAACGGACGCGAAGUGCAACUUGGUGCCCAUGCCCUCGCAGUAGGCCUGGAACACCGCGCUCGUGAAUUGCAUGCUGUUAUCGGUGAUGAUGCCGUUAGGCACACCAAACCGGCACACAAUGCUCUUGAAGAACUUGAUGGCCACCUGGGCGGUCACCUUCCGCACUGGUUCUACUUCCACCCACUUGGAGAACUUGUCGAUGGCCACGAACAAAUAUUCGUAGCCGCUGACUGCUCUUGGCCGCUUGUCGACGAUGUCCAGCCCCCAGACCGCGAACCACAAGGAAGGGAUGACAUGCAGGGCCGGCGCCGGCUGGUUGCUCUUCUUUGAGUGGAACUGGCACGCCUCGCAUGUCUUCACCAGCUGCGCUGCGUCGGCCAGGGCCGUGGGUCAGUAAAAACCGUGCCAGAACGCCUUGCCGGCCCGCACCCGGGAGCCACAUGGUGGGAGCAUGUGCCUCGAUGUAUCUCUUCCAACAGCGCGCACCCUUCGUCUUGAGGAACGCAGAUGAGCUUAACUUCAUUCGCACGCCUGCGGUAGAGGUUCCCGUCCACCAUGGCGUACAUUUUGGCUUGCCGCGCCACACGCUCCGCGGCGACGUCGUCUUCCGGGAGGGCGUCCCCCUUCAAGUAGCGGGCGAUUUCCACUGCCCAGGGAGGGGUCUCCCUGCCAACGCAUGCCGCUAUGUCAGUGGCAUGGACCCCUGUUGUUGCGGGGUUUCCUUCGGUUGCCGGAUGGGCCUCCAAGGCAACCGGCUCGGGGGCGACUGAGGGCGCAGCUUGCCUGUGCCAGAACACCCCCGCCGGGGUGAAACUAUCCUCCCCCUUACAGGGUUCGAUCUCUGUGCUUACUGUGCUAGUCCCUGGAUCGACUCUGUAGCACACACAGUUUCAAGAUGUAAUAUCAAGAUACAAAGGUCAAAAGUAUAUUACAUCGUAUUGAUCCAGAAUUAAUCCCUACACAUAUUGCAUAACCUCAUGGGUUAGCUCUAGAGAAAAUAAAAUCUUGCAGCGGAAAGCAGAAGAUGCAUGAGUCCCAUAACAACUCCACAGUCGAAACAUGUUGGAAUGUAAACUCGCAACCCUAACAAUUCGUACGUCACUUUUCACCUGGUUCACCUGCAACAUUUAAACGUUGCAGCCACUAGGGAGUCAAUACAUUGAAUGUAUUGGCAAGUUCACAAAAGGGUUAUAACAGAUCCUGUCAAGGUGGGGUUUGGCUAAUUGCAUAAAAGCAUCAAUGUAUCAUCCUAUCAUUUUAUUAAAUAGUUUUAUCACUAUUGGACACGGGGUAGAAACACCCGUGCUCCUAUUAACCUAGAGCACACUGAGCAGAUACAUCAAGUGCCCCUACUCUGUUCAAACCAUUCAUUUUACUUAAGAAAUUUGAAUGAUUGAAACCUUCCUUACAGCCCCCAUAUCUAGUUGCUCAUAAUUGUCUGUAACCGGGGACACCGCUAAGUACUUAGUUUUACACUCUCGAGAGGUUGUACACAUUUCCCACAGAAAUCGACGUGUUAAUCCCUUGCUGUCCUCAGGGUAGAGUAGUCCCUUGCAUCGAUUACAGGAAUUUUCAGACUAUAAUCACCCAGACCACCUGAGGGACCUACGUUCCCACCUACACGGCUACAUAUGCACAAUCCCACGGAUCCAGGAUCAUAUGUCUUACAUCCAUCCUGGCAGAGCCCAUAUUACCAUGUGGUUGUACUGGAAGCUAUUAAAGAGGAAACUAGUCCAGUCUCUAGUUACCCCGGGUGGCAUUCCUCAAUUGCAACGCAGACACUCCCAUAGAAAUGGCGAGACGACUCAGAGAAAUGGACCCAUAGAAAUGGACCUGAUGUCGCAUACAUCUCCGAUUCCUCAAAGCAGCCCACCCAGGACGGUUCAUUGAAUUACUUGUUUUGCCAUACACUAGGAAAACCAUAUUGUAAUUGAAUAGUAUCACCUUGUAAUAAUACCAACCUCAUAUAUUAUCAUAGCAUAGUUUACUACUACGAUGGCAAUUGGUGGUGAUGACAUGGCAAGGGUAUCCUAUACUACUAGGAGAUCAUAGCUAGCAUAGGUACAAUAAUAUUCCUAUCAAUGCAACUAAUAAAAAACUAGUGCAUAAUAAAAUAAUGGGAUAAUGGUCAAAGUGAACUUGGCUUGAUAGCAGUUGGUAUUCGGAAAGUCCUUUUCCUUUUAUUUAAGGAAGUCUUUCACAGGUCAAACGAGACCUAAGACUUAAUCUAAAAUAAAUUACUAGAUUGAAUCUAUUUGCAUUAAAAAAACCGAUCAAAAAAGGGCGAGCGAAGCAAGUGAUCAAAAACUUUGUUCGUCCUAUCUAUAAGAGGAGAGCAUAUGAAAAAUGUAACCCAUUCUUUCGUUUUUUUAGCUCACUGGCCAUCCGCUGGCAGUUUCGGGCUUAAUACCGAUAUUUUAGCAACAAAUCUAAUAAAUCUAACUGUAGUGGUUGGUGUUUUGAUUUUUUUUGGAAAGGGAGUGUGUGCGAGUUGUCUAUUUCAAGAAUAGGUUGGAUCUAUCCGACUGCACUUUAGAAUAUUUCGUAGUAUUUUUCGGAUAAAUAAGGGUGCGCAAUCUCGACGAAUUACUUCUGAAUAAAUUCAGAAAUCAUAUGGAAGAACCAUAGCAUUUCGCGACUCGUUGGUAAAUCAACUUUGAUUCUCUAUAAACCAAUUAAUGUGAGACUAUUAACACGGUUAAAGCUAAACUGCUUGAAGUCCAGGCAAAAAGGGGUACUCUUUCUACACCUAUAUUAGUAUUAGUACCGAAAUGCUUUAAACGGGAAAUAGCUAAUGUAGAAUUUAUCUGAUAUAGAACACUCAUAUCGAUAAAAUGGUUUGAACUAUUUACUAGAAAAAAAGAGGCACCCUGCCCUUUUUUAUCGAAUGCCGAAUCGACAACCUAUGUAUAAAAUAAAAAAAGAGAAAUUUUUUGGAUUUGAAGAAAAAAAAGACUUCGAUUCAUUUUCUAUUUAUUUCGUUAGUUUUUCUUAAUGAAAUUGAAAUUAUUAAGUAAAGUGCAAAUACAAAUAAAGAAACAACUUUGCUGACCAUGAUAGAUUUUUAUCUAGGCGGAAGAGUCCUCUUAAUAUUUAUCUAAUCUUAUAUAGGUUUCAGUAUAUUGAAAUAGAAAGAUAAAAUAGAAGAGAGAGGAUAGGCUCAUUACUUAAAAAAAAGAUAUGGAAAUAGCCAUAGCAAAAAAAGAAAAAAGGAGCGUGAGAGCCAAAUGAAUCGAAAGAUUCAUGUUUGGUUCGGGAAGAGAUCAUAAAAGUUGUAAACUUAAUAGCAAGAUAAUCUACUUUCAUUAAAAGAUUUAUUAGAUAAUCGAAAACAGAGGAUCUUGAGUACUAUUCGAAAUUCGGAAGAAUUGCGUAGAGGGACCUUUGAGCAGCUCGAAAAAGCUCGGAUUCGAUUACAGAAAGUCGAACUAGAAGCGGAUGAGUAUCGAAUGAAUGGAUACUCUGAGAUAGAACGAGAAAAAGAAAAUUUGAUUCAA
rnacentral:lncRNA from 1 species